UGUGCUUUUGUGGGAGCUCUCAUGUUGUUGCUUGCAAUUGCACUGUACAAGGUGAAGAAGCGCCAAGAGAGAGGAGAGAUGGAUGGAGAGGGAGGAAUAGAGCCAGAAAGAAAAUCAAUGGCUAACUUGCCAGUCAGCUCACGCUACAGUGGAAUGAGCCGUGACCAAAACACCCAAAAGUACUUGUACCAAAUUAUUUUGCAUAUGAAUUUCAAAUUCAACUGUUCUUAAAUCUUUUAAAUUCUUCAGAUACAUUAAAAAAAAUAAAUUAAAUUUCACAA